rnacentral:rRNA from 1 species
AUUGAACGCUGGCGGCAGGCCUAACACAUGCAAGUCGAGCGGAUGAAGGGAGCUUGCUCCUGGAUUCAGCGGCGGACGGGUGAGUAAUGCCUAGGAAUCUGCCUGGUAGUGGGGGAUAACGUCCGGAAACGGGCGCUAAUACCGCAUACGUCCUGAGGGAGAAAGUGGGGGAUCUUCGGACCUCACGCUAUCAGAUGAGCCUAGGUCGGAUUAGCUAGUUGGUGGGGUAAAGGCCUACCAAGGCGACGAUCCGUAACUGGUCUGAGAGGAUGAUCAGUCACACUGGAACUGAGACACGGUCCAGACUCCUACGGGAGGCAGCAGUGGGGAAUAUUGGACAAAGGGCGAAAGCCUGAUCCAGCCAUGCCGAGUGUGUGAAGAAGGUCUUCGGAUUGUAAAGCACUUUAAGUUGGGAGGAAGGGCAGUAAGUUAAUACCUUGCUGUUUUGACGUUACCAACAGAAUAAGCACCGGCUAACUUCGUG